rnacentral:rRNA from 1 species
UUUCCCCGCGGCGGGGAGGGGAAACGCCGCCAAUGCCGAUGGCAGGCCGAUAAGACCCUCCUGCUCCCUGCUAGUCCGGAAUCCUCACCCGGCUGGAUCCCUCCUUAACCGAAUUCUCAGAUAUCCUCACACUGGGGCCGCUCGGCAUGCAUCAGAGGGCCCAUUCGCCCUUAGWGAGUCUAUUACAAUCACUGGCCGCGUUUUACACGUCGUGACGGGAAAACCUGGCG